GUACAACAGAGAAAUCAAGGUCAGCAGCUUCUCUUACAUUCCCAGUGUAAACCUCAACAACAUUUAAAGUGCCAUGUUUUGAUUAAAGCUCAUGUGGGCUUUGGGUGGGGGUUUGCUCUUUUCGAAUUUAUUUUAAACCUAAACGUCCCUGUGAGGGACUAGUUCACUGUUCUCUAUGUUCCUGUGAUUAAAACCUACAGCUCAACUCCCAGCCCUGAAGGCAGAGGAUUGAGCACUUCAUUACACACUAACGUUCACACAGUUCACACUAAAGAAAACUCAACACACAAACAGUAUCACACUAACACACUUACUGCACUGGCUGGUCAGAUCGGAAACCUGAGCUUUAUACAUGUGGGAUUCAGCUAUUGUCCAGUACACGUCUAAUGUUUUCUGCUCCAAGCCUUUCUUUUUUUCUUUUUUUUUUUGCCCAAUUUAUUGUUUUCUUUCCUCCCACUGUAUCUCUCCUCUUUCUUCUCUUCCUCUUUUCCCCCGGCUGACUUUAUAGUUUGUAGAAAUGGAUGACUGUGUGCUUCAAGGACUUCUCUCUUUGCUGGGCUGCCUAACCAAUCUCUUCCUUCUAAUAAAGGUUGACCUGUCUUUAUCUUUCCUUAACUCACACUCAUCUCAAAACUGCCUGCCUUUCAUUCAUUUCACCUUUCGCCCUAGUUAUUCUCCAUGGAUAAAGUCUCACAUUACCCAUAGUACACUGAAAUGAGCUUCAAUGUCUGUCCUCAUGACCUUAUAACAUCUUUGUGUCUGUGCCAUUUCACCACCUCAUAAUGGUGUCAUUAAUUACACUAAAGAUUUCUACUCACUGCCAAAAAAGAAAAAAGAAACGAGAUUUCAUAAUGCAAUACCACAUCUAUGUAUUUUGAAGUUCUGUUAUAAACAUGAUGUAUGUGUUAAAGAAUUGUGUGGGUAACAUUGUAGGACUUGAGACAGAGGCAGAGUCAGCAGCAGGACGUCCUAGAGCAGCUCAGGAGGGUGAGAUCUGAGAAACUCAAAGAGCUACAGAGACACAGGAAAGAGGAGGAGGAGAGGAAGAGGAAGAAAGAGGAGGAGGAGAGGAAGAUAAAGAAAGAGGAGGAGGAGAGGAAGAGGAAGCAAGAGGAGGAAGAGAGGAAGAGGAAGAAAGAAGAGGAGGAGAGGAAGAGAAAGAAAGAAGAGGAGGAGAGGAAGAGGAAGAAAGAGGAGGAGGAGAGGAAGAGGAAGAAAGAGGAGGAGGCUGCCAGACAGGCGAAGCUGGAGCAGGAGGAAGCAGAGCGUCAGAGGAUGCUUGCCCAGGAGCGAGAAGCCAAACUCAGGGAAGAACAGCAGCGUCAGGCCCAAGCCCGACUUCAGGAAGCCCAGGAGCAGGCACGAGAGAAAGAAGAGAAGAGGAGGGCGGAGGAAAGAGAGAGGGAGGAGAAGGGAGGAGAAAGGAAUGAACUGGCUCUAAACACUCAGCC
ensembl:lncRNA